CACACACACACACACACACACUUUAGAUGAACCCAUGAGGCGGAGGCAACGGUGCAUUAAUGUUAUACGAUCAGCCAUAGAUACAGACCACGUCCCAGCGAUAAGGGUUAUAGCCUGGGAUAACCUAGUUACUAAGCAUUAUUAGACACGCUAAAUGUAGAAUACCUCACUUUUCUGUAAGAUGAAAUUAUAUUCAAGGUAUAGAAAAUGAGCACUGUAAUGCUUUUGGCGUAAACCGACGAUCUAAAUCUGGCAACGCAGAAUUAUAUGAAAAUUUUAAGGUAAAAACAUUUAAAGAAUGGCAAAAAAUUCAAGGAAGUAUUAUCAAAGAAAGGUUAUUAACCUCAUUACAAAGAAGUUAGAAAGAUCAAGUAAAUCAAUACUGUAGGUGCCUAACUAGGUAUAAAGGACGCAAUGAAAGCUAAUGGACCGAACGGGAGGUCGUUCCGUGCCUCCACAAGCAUGACCCAUUGGGUUGCAACAAGUCGAUGGUAUUGAAUUAUGCCAGUAGAUAUUCAUAUAAUACCUAUAUUAUAACCGAGAAUAAAUACAUCUUUGAAGACUUACAUAUUUUUGUUGGAGCGUUUUAUUUAUAAGGUGCAGUUUAAAAACUCCUUUAUAAGUAAGUACUGUUUUAACGUGCAGUACUUAAUUUACUGACUUUAAACCUAAACGUAAGUUUGCCUCGCCUUGUAAGAUAAGCACCGCUUCGCAGAAGAGUCUCAUGAGUCACAUGAGAGUAAUGCGACUAGUUUAAACUGACGCGGCGGCGACACAGAUGCACAGCCACAGGCGGAACACGGGCACUAAACUGUUUAGGAAGUGUGAUGAUGAUAUGGCUAAUUGUAAUUACGUACUUAUAACUGUUGCUCAUUGAGAUAAAAUAAAAUUAUUAUUAGUGCCUACCCCGCAAAGGUCUUAGCGUGAAAAUAGAUAGAUAAAGUAGUAAAAAACUGCAAUUUUACUUAUACAUAUAUAUAGGGAGAGAGAGAGAGUAAAAGUCAUAAAUGUUUACAACUAUGUUUACUCCAUAAAAAUUUAUAAUUGAUAUGUUAAUCAAAAUCAACACAUUUGUUCAAUCGUUAACCUAUAAUUAUAUUUUACGAGCACAAGCGUUAAUAAAUACAACAAACUGAACAAGAAUUAGUAGUGAACAAUAAAUCGAACACAGUGUACGAUUUAUUUGUAUCAAUUGAAUAAAUACGUAUUGAUGUUUUUAUACAAAAAUAGAGUACAACGUUGUAACUAUUAAAAGAUGCCACAACCAGGAAUUACCUGAAAAUAGUCAACGGAAAUAACCAACUACAACCUUGCACUGUGGAUCAAUAGAGCCUUGAACUUUGCGUCGAACUGAACCUUAUAUACAGUUCCUGAUUUGCUAUACU